rnacentral:misc_RNA from 1 species
AAGUCGUAACAAGGUUUCCGUAGGUGAACCUGCGGAAGGAUCAUUAACGAACGGUGAUCGGUCGCGGUUGUCGCUGGCCCCUCUUUGCGGGGGGGCAUGUGCACAUCGCUCCGAAAACGAUCUUAAACCUGUGCACCAAUGGCGGAGAAAGGAGGAGGCUCUCUCGGGCCUUUUCCCAUCCUGCUUUAUCACACACCCUGCAUGUCUAGAAUGUCCUUUGCGUUCGUCGCAAUUAUAUAUAACUUUCAGCAACGGAUCUCUUGGCUCUC